UGGCUCCAGAGAGAUGGAUCCACCUUACCACGUGCUUCCAGACUGCACAGAUCCAUUCUGCCCAUACAUUCACAUGUCUGAGAAUUCUAUACCUCCAGCAAGCCAACUGCAGCUGGUUUCUGGUCUACUGCAUAUCUAGAAAUCCCCAGACAAAGGUCAGAGCCUUUUUUUUCCAUUCCCUCAACACAGUGUUGGAUGGGAAAAGAAGUGCUAUGGUAUCCUAGACGUUGCUAUUUGCACUGAAGUCAUCGCAGGGUCACAGGUGUUUGGAUCACAGGGAGACAAAGCACUGCCUGCAAGAGGGAAGCAGAACUCCCUGUGCUCCUCUGGUCUUGUUUUAAGGCUGCCACAGCACCUUAACCCAGCUGGAGCCUGCUCUGCUGAUUGGCAGACCCUCUGGAGACCACCAGAAGAAGCAGAUGGUCAAGACAUGAGAUCAGAGCUGGAGAAGGAGAUGUCAAUCUCCGGGCUGCAGUGCCAGGCUCGGGGACGUGGCAGGGAGCAGGCGAGCUACGCGGUCCCGUAAGGACAGCGUGAGUAAUGAGGCUGUCUGCAAAGUCUGGGGUUUGCUUUAAGAAAAAUAAUAAUAAUAAUAAUAAUAACCCAUUGCACAGCCUCAUCGUGCUACAGGAGUCAGCCCUGGUAUUGCUGCACCCCUGGAAGGCGGCUGAGCCUCUGUUGGCCUCCCCAUCAAUCUCCCAAGCAGAG
ensembl:lncRNA